rnacentral:lncRNA from 1 species
UUGAAACAAUCUUAUACAAAAAUCUACCAUCGGAAGGGCUAUCAUUAGCACUGUAUAUUGCCCCCCCGGAACAAAAGAAAAAACAAAGAAAUGAAAGAACACCAACAUAUAUCUACAUUUUACACAUACUCUACAAGCACUAGAGUUUCAUCAUCCUCCUCCUGGUCAGCACUCUGGCCAGCACUCCUAGCCUUUCCCAUCAGAAUAUCAAGCUACACAAAGCAGUAAUAUCAAAUAAUAUAAAACUAUACAUGAAAACCAUUUUCAGCAAUUCAUAUAUCUACAUGAAAACCAUUAUACCUGUGACAAACAUAUACAUGAAAACCAUUUUCAG